rnacentral:rRNA from 1 species
AUUCCCCUAGUAACGGCGAGUGAAGCGGGAACAGCUCAAAUUUGAAAUCUGGCCCUUGGGUCCGAGUUGUAAUUUGCAGAGGAUGCUUUUGGUGCGGUGCCUUCCGAGUUCCCUGGAACGGGACGCCUUAGAGGGUGAGAGCCCCGUACGGUUGGACACCAAGCCUAUGUAAAGCUCCUUCGACGAGUCGAGUAGUUUGGGAAUGCUGCUCAAAAUGGGAGGUAUAUUUCUUCUAAAGCUAAAUAUUGGCCAGAGACCGAUAGCGCACAAGUAGAGUGAUCGAAAGAUGAAAAGCACUUUGAAAAGAGGGUUAAAUAGCACGUGAAAUUGUUGAAAGGGAAGGAUUUAUGACCAGACUUUUUCUAGGGGGAUCAUCCGGUGUUCUCACCGGUGCACUUCCCCUAGUUGAGGCCAGCAUCGGUUUCUGUCGAGGGAUAAAAGCUUCAGGAAUGUGGCUCCCUCCGGGGAGUGUUAUAGCCUGUUGCAUAAUACCUUGACGGGGACCGAGGUUCGCGCAUUGCAAGGAUGCUGGCGUAAUGGUUAUUAAUCACCCGUCUUGAAACACGGACCAAGGAGUCGAACAUUUGUGCGAGUGUUUGGGUGUUAAACCCUCACGCGUAAUGAAAGUGAACGGAGGUGAGAGCCUUUAGGGGUGCAUCAUCGACCGAUCCUGAUGUCUUCGGAUGGAUUUGAGUAAGAGCAUUAAUGUUCGGACCCGAAAGAUGGUGAACUAUGCGUGGAUAGGGUGAAGCCAGAGGAAACUCUGGUGGAGGCUCGCAGCGGUUCUGACGUGCAAAUCGAUCGUCAAAUCUGCGCAUGGGGGCGAAAGACUAAUCGAACCAUCUAGUAGCUGGUUACCGCCGAAGUUUCCCUCAGGAUAGCAGUGUUGUGUUCAGUUUUAUGAGGUAAAGCGAAUGAUUAGGGACUCGGGGGCUAUUUAUUGCCUUCAUCCAUUCUCAAACUUUAAAUAUGUAAGAAGCCCU